rnacentral:rRNA from 1 species
GUCGACGAUGAACCGCUUCGGUGGUGGAUUAGUGGCGAACGGGUGAGUAACACGUGGGCAAUCUGCCCUUCACUCUGGGACAAGCCCUGGAAACGGGGUCUAAUACCGGAUAACACUCUGUCCCGCAUGGGACGGGGUUGAAAGCUCCGGCGGUGAAGGAUGAGCCCGCGGCCUAUCAGCUUGUUGGUGGGGUAAUGGCCUACCAAGGCGACGACGGGUAGCCGGCCUGAGAGGGCGACCGGCCACACUGGGACUGAGACACGGCCCAGACUCCUACGGGAGGCAGCAGUGGGGAAUAUUGCACAAUGGGCGAAAGCCUGAUGCAGCGACGCCGCGUGAGGGAUGACGGCCUUCGGGUUGUAAACCUCUUUCAGCAGGGAAGAAGCGAAAGUGACGGUACCUGCAGAAGAAGCGCCGGCUAACUACGUGCCAGCAGCCGCGGUAAUACGUAGGGCGCAAGCGUUGUCCGGAAUUAUUGGGCGUAAAGAGCUCGUAGGCGGCUUGUCACGUCGGAUGUGAAAGCCCGGGGCUUAACCCCGGGUCUGCAUUCGAUACGGGCUAGCUAGAGUGUGGUAGGGGAGAUCGGAAUUCCUGGUGUAGCGGUGAAAUGCGCAGAUAUCAGGAGGAACACCGGUGGCGAAGGCGGAUCUCUGGGCCAUUAC